rnacentral:tRNA from 1 species
AUAUAGAUAAUGUAAAUAACAUAUUGGCUCUUCAUCCCAAAAAUGCAUUCCUUGCUCUGUAUA